rnacentral:rRNA from 1 species
GAUGAACGCUGGCGGCGUGCCUAAUACAUGCAAGUCGAGCGAACGGACGAGAAGCUUGCUUCUCUGAUGUUAGCGGCGGACGGGUGAGUAACACGUGGAUAACCUACCUAUAAGACUGGGAUAACUUCGGGAAACCGGAGCUAAUACCGGAUAAUAUUUUGAACCGCAUGGUUCAAAAGUGAAAGACGGUCUUGCUGUCACUUAUAGAUGGAUCCGCGCUGCAUUAGCUAGUUGGUAAGGUAACGGCUUGCCAAGGCAACGAUGCAUAGCCGACCUGAGAGGGUGAUCGGCCACACUGGAACUGAGACACGGUCCAGACUCCUACGGGAGGCAGCAGUAGGGAAUCUUCCGCAAUGGGCGAGAGCCUGACGGAGCAACGCCGCGUGAGUGAUGAAGGUCUUCGGAUCGUAAAACUCUGUUAUUAGGGAAGAACAUAUGUGUAAGUAACUGUGCACAUCUUGACGGUACCUAAUCAGAAAGCCACGGCUAACUACGUG